CGAAAGCCUGACGGAGCAAGACCGCGUGGGGGAGGAAGGCUCUAGGGUUGUAAACCCCUUUUCUUUGGGAAGAACAAAAUGACGGUACCAAAGGAAUCAGCCUCGGCUAACUCCGUGCCAGCAGCCGCGGUAAUACGGGGGAUGCAAGCGUUAUCCGGAAUUAUUGGGCGUAAAGCGUCCGUAGGCGGCUAGAUAAGUCUGUUGUUAAAGCGUGCAGCUCAACUGCAUACGGGCAAUGGAAACUAUUUAGCUAGAGUGUGGUAGGGGUAGAGGGAAUUCCCGGUGUAGCGGUGAAAUGCGUAGAUAUCGGGAAGAACACCAGUGGCGAAAGCGCUCUGCUGGGCCACAACUGACGCUGAUGGACGAAAGCUAGGGGAGCG
rnacentral:rRNA from 1 species